CGUAGGGCGGAGCGUUAUCCGGAAUUAUUGGGCGUAAAGCGCGCGCAGGCGGCCGGUUAAGUCAGGUGUGAAAGGCUGCGGGCUCAACCGCAGAGCGGCACCUGAAACUGGUCGGCUUGAGUGCAGGAGAGGGAGCGAAUUCCCGGUGUAGCGGUGGAAUGCGUAGAGAUCGGGAGGAACACCAGGUGCGAAGGCGGCUCUCUGGCCUGUAACUGACGCUGAGGCGCGAAAGCGUGGGAGCAAACAGGAUU
rnacentral:rRNA from 1 species